ensembl:snRNA U6 U6 spliceosomal RNA
AUAAUAAGAGCAGCAUGUAUACUAAAAUUGGAAGGAUACAGAGAAGAUUAGCAUGGCCCCUGCACAAGAGUGACAUGCAAAUUUGUGAAGCGUUCCAUACUUUU